UGCCUGAUGGAGGGGGAUAACUACUGGAAACGGUAGCUAAUACCGCAUAACGUCGCAAGACCAAAGAGGGGGACCUUCGGGCCUCUUGCCAUCGGAUGUGCCCAGAUGGGAUUAGCUAGUAGGUGGGGUAACGGCUCACCUAGGCGACGAUCCCUAGCUGGUCUGAGAGGAUGACCAGCCACACUGGAACUGAGACACGGUCCAGACUCCUACGGGAGGCAGCAGUGGGGAAUAUUGCACAAUGGGCGCAAGCCUGAUGCAGCCAUGCCGCGUGUAUGAAGAAGGCCUUCGGGUUGUAAAGUACUUUCAGCGGGGAGGAAGGGAGUAAAGUUAAUACCUUUGCUCAUUGACGUUACCCGCAGAAGAAGCACCGGCUAACUCCGUGCCAGCAGCCGCGGUAAUACGGAGGGUGCAAGCGUUAAUCGGAAUUACUGGGCGUAAAGCGCACGCAGGCGGUUUGUUAAGUCAGAUG
rnacentral:rRNA from 1 species